AGCUAUAUACGGAAAUUACGACAGCUACGUUUUCCAACCUUGAUAAAUAAACAAAAGCAACAUAAAUUCCAUAUUUAGUUUACGGCCUAUUUUGGCUGAUUCCCGGUUAAAGAAUGCGUGUUGUGAAAUAUAUUGUGGUGUUGUCGUGAAACCUCCUGAACAAUUGUUAGCAUCUCUGUGGCUAGCAUGACUAGCUCGACAUGUUUAUUUUAGUACUGGAGCGACGGCGCACGGCAUGAUGGCAUGAAAACCUCGCACUCUUAGCAAGCAGCUACGCUUCCUUUUCGCCGUAAGGUUGAAACUUGCAAGUCUCGAGUUGAGUGUGCUGUCAGAACCGAACCCCAUUGAGAUCUGUGAGCAGUCAUCAUGGCCUGGGCUCUGAAGUUACCGCUCUCCGACGAAGUGAUUGAGUCCGGACUGGUCCAGGACUUUGAUGCCAGCCUGUCGGGCAUCGGCCAGGAGCUUGGUGCCGGGGCAUACAGCAUGAGCGACGUACUUGCCCUGCCCAUCUUCAAACAAGAGGAGUCCAACUUGCCUCCUGACACCGACAAGAUCCUUCCCUUCCAGUAUGUUCUGUGUGCUGCUACCUCGCCAGCCGUUAAACUGCAUGAUGAAACACUCACCUACCUCAAUCAAGGGCAGUCCUAUGAAAUUAUCAUGCUUGAUAAUCGGAAAAUUGGUGAACUUCCGGAAAUCUCUGGUAAAAUGGUUAAGAGCAUCAUUCGCGUGGUGUUUCACGACCGCCGACUUCAGUACACAGAGCACCAACAGCUGGAGGGUUGGCGCUGGAACAGGCCCGGGGAUCGCAUUCUGGACCUGGAUAUCCCCAUGUCAGUUGGCAUUAUCGACCCACGGGCUAACCCUACUCAGCUUAACACUGUGGAGUUCCUAUGGGAACCGUCAAAAAGAACCUCAGUUUUUAUCCAGGUUCACUGCAUCAGCACAGAAUUUACCAUGCGUAAACACGGCGGGGAAAAAGGGGUUCCCUUUCGCAUCCAGAUUGACACGUUCAAAGAGAACGAGAGCAGCGAGUACACCGAGCACCUCCACUCCGCCUCCUGUCAGGUCAAAGUUUUCAAGCCGAAAGGUGCGGAUAGAAAGCAGAAGACUGAUAGGGAGAAGAUGGAGAAAAGGGCACCACAGGAGAAGGAGAAAUACCAGGCCUCGUAUGAAACUACAAUCCUCACAGAGUGUUCCCCCUGGCCCGAGGUCCCCUAUGUCAACAACUCUCCAUCACCGGGCUUCAACAGCACGCAGAACAGCUUCCCAGUUGCAGAAGGAAACGGAUCACCAAACCACCAGCCUGAGCCUGUGGUUCAAGUAGCUGACAAUUUGUUACCUGCAGCGACGCCACAAGAUGCACAACAGUGGCUUCUCCGAAACCGCUUCUCGCCUUUCUCUCGGCUCUUCACCAACUUCUCAGGAGCAGACCUGUUGAAGCUGACCAGGGAAGAUGUCAUACAGAUCUGUGGCCCAGCAGACGGCAUACGACUAUUCAAUGCACUAAAAGGACGGGUGGUCCGUCCGAGGUUAACUAUCUAUGUGUGCCAGGAGUCGCAGCAGGCACGCGAUCAACAGGCCAAACAUGAGAACGGAGAAGCUGCAAACAGCACUUUCUUUAGUCAGUGCACAUUACCUUGUUUCUUACUGUGACAAAGAAUGUUCGAUCUUUAGAUAGGUAUUUGAAGAUAUUUCCUAAAUUGAAAAUGAAAAAUUAUUUACUCAUACGUGCAAAUCACUCGCCUUAUGGCGAAAUUCUCCGUUUUGAACUCAAUAAGCCAUUUAGGUGAAUCGUAUAGAUCCGAUGAGUUUUUCCAGGGGGCGGGGGUCACCGUCACUGACGUCAUAGGCUGUUUCGUACUCCUUGAACGCUGGCAGCUAGAUCCAUUCCACACAUCCACACACAGAUUGUAAUUCUGAAUAUUAUUCCGGGGCAGACGAAUAUGCAAGCGCAUUGGCCUGAGGUUCCGCCUGUGCGCUUGGGACCUGCUUUGGACAAGUCACAGGAGUUGACAAGACCAGAAAAAACACUUCCGCUGCUUCUGCUGUUAAGUAACUGUUCUUUUACUCCGUUACAAUGAUGUAAAUGUCGCUCGCUACUUUAUCAGUUAUUCCUUAUUUAUCAACUAUUUUGUACGCGAGACUUCGCGCUUCCGCAUCGGGCACUGUUUGCAUCAAUCCAGUUUAAGCGCUAGUGACGUUUAAGUUUAGUUCACCAAUCAAAUGACACAAAGUCACAUGACCUCAUACAUCUUCUGUUGGGACUUUCCGGACAUAGGUAUUAACACUAGCUAAGCCAGCCCGGCUUAUUAUUGUGCCUACGCGCCGGCCAUGUUGGGAAGGUCGUCGUUACCAUGAAGGCAACAACGAGCUACUCUUGUUUACAUUUAGACGAACAAAAACAUUUUUCUGUCACUGUCUGGCCAAACGUGGACAUGUCAGCUCACUUAUAGCUUGAGAAAACACCGUGCAGUAAAUUGCAGAUGUGUUGUUGUAGUCUUGACUAUGCAUAAACACACGCAGCAUCAGAAUUUGCACAUUCACAUUUUAUUUUGUAAUUUUUUAAAAUGUUCAUGCUGUGGUUAAAAAAAAAAGUUACUCACUAUUUACUCAGUAAUAAUUUCACUCUAUACUUUUUACUCUCGUAAUUUUUUUGAAGGACUCCUUUUUACUUGAGUCACAUUAUUGUCAAGUAACAGUACUCUUACUUGAGUACAGUAUUUGGCUACUCUACCAACCUCUGGAGCGGACAUCCUCUAUUGAUACUCUUACGUUUAAGCAAGAUUUUUGCUCAUCAGAUCAGCUAGUGUCGUAUUUGUUGGACUAGUCUUUUCGUUGAAGUGCUGCGGGUCGUGGCCCGAGUUGCGAUCCCAGUGGAACUGCAAAGCACACGUAACAUCGGCGACAAGAGUUGAUCUGCUAGUAAAUCCUGUAUUAAUUAGGAAACGCUGCUACGAUUAUCUAAUUAGUUUACGGAUGUUAAUGUUAACUGUAUUAAGCGAUGGAGCGAUCUUUUAUGUCACGACACAGAAUGAACUAACUUCAAAUUCAGAAAUGGCCAAUUAUUAAAUGGCCAAUAACAGAAAAAUAUUGUACUUAAUACUUUCCCGGAGGAUGCAUUUGGGAUUAGCCUUUCAAGUUGGUAAGAGUGAAAAAUGUAGAAAAAAAUGUCUGCCAUUUCGAGGUGAUUAUAUAGCAGAUAUACAGCAGUUAAAUUGAUAAAUAUGAUUCAGAAUGCGCCUUCUGCUUUUUGCAUCUAGCGCCUUACGGUCUUUGUCUCUUUCCGGCGCUGUGAUGUAACACUAGCCAAACAACCUGAUCAUUCGGCGGUGUGUGCUAUUGUUCCAUGCUGUUGUUCCCAUCCAUGUGCAGUUGUUGUCGUAUGAAUCAGCGAUUUAAUGAUGGUUUAUUGUGUCCAUUUGUACAACCAUUUGGUUGUACAAAUGGUUCAGGCAGUGGCAAGAGUUUCUUUGGGUUUCCAAGUGAAAAAGGAAUAUGUGACCAGUGGAUAGGGAAAGUCAAUCGACGGGAAGAAAUGUGGUCACGUAUGGGUGCCUAGCAAGCAUUCCAAACUCUGUGAUGAUCACUUCGAACCGGUGUGUUUUGAGAAACAUUUAGCAGAAAGCAUUGGAUACACAGGUGUAGUUAGGCAGAGGCUGAAAGCUGUGGUGCCAACUAUUUUUCCUACGGCCAUCGGGAACCUCAACCGCCAACAGGAGAACUAAAUCUUGCAGCGGCGAAGUGGCCCAGACAAGAGGUGAGGAUUUCCUUGUAUAUACACCUAUGACUCUGUUAUGAUUAUUAUGCACUGGGCAGUGGGGGGAAAAAAAGACCCACACAGUACCUUUCAGUACUGUCGUCUGUACAUUUGCCUAUAUGACAAGCCAACAGACACGGCAAAGACUUUCUGUGCGGGGUGUUGUAAAUCUACUCGAGCGAGUGGCACACAAUGUAUAGGAAUACUGCAUACUAUGUAAAAGCUUGUACCGUGUCACUAAAACAUGAAUAUAUAAUACGUAUAGUUGUGCUCAAAAUAUUGGCACCCCUGGGCUGCCAAUAUUUCUAGCCAUGACUGUAUAAAAAGACAUGUUUUUUUCCCCCCCCCUCAACUCUCUGACCCAAUGAGCAUGCCUGUUAUAUUUUAUUGUAACAAAAGAAUCCCCCUCUCACUAUUCUGGCAUUUAGUGAAUAGACAUAAUUUUGGUAAUCCUAAAACAGGAAAAGGUAAGUCUGAUUUCAUGUCAGACAGUCAACCAAAAAGGCAUUGUGUGUCUGCAUUGGCACCGCAGGGGUGCCAAUAUUUUUCAGCACAACGGUAAUAGCGAUACUACAUGUAAGGAUGAUGUGGCUUCGUCUCCCUCAUCUUUUUUGUUUCAAAUAAGGUGAUUACAAAUCUGUGAUUUAAAUCACGUGAAAAAAAUCUCAAUUAAAAUAUGUGAUUGUUUUUAAAUAACCCAUUGAUUAAAAUAAUUUGCAGUUAGUUACAUUUCCUGGGUGUAUCAAACUCAAGCCUACAAAUCCUUGUCCACAUGACUCAUCAAGGUGUAUGCUUAUUCACAAAUAAAGUGGUUAAUCUUGCAUCACUAUUAUUCCAGAUGGUGUCCGAGUUACUAGGAGUAGGAGCAAUAGAUGACAACCAGAUUGUCACAUUAAAUCAUGCUAAUAUUGCCAUGGACGUCACAGGAAUUCUACCACAGUCCAAUCGCAACUGUGUGUGUAUCCAGGCUACGAUUGACAAUAAGCCAGUCAGUACUCAAACAUCAUGGUAUAAGCAACAUUAUGGGACCCAAGUCACUUCGACUGAGCCAGAGGCAGAAAAAAAGUUCCAUGAUUUCCUUGGAGAAGGAGUCCAUCGUUGAUGGAAACCCUAUUCAAAUUUGUUUUUCAAUCGUGCCUACGAGCACUCCUGGCAAUCUGUGCUGUCUGUUCCAGCCCAUGCCUGGUGGCUAUUAAAAAUAUGAGAGGAAGCCUUGCCGUGUUCAAAGCAACAUGCAGACAUGGUCACAUCAAAGAAUGGUACAGCCAACCAAUGUCAGGUUGUAUGCCUCCAGGUUAUUUGCUGGGUGCCAGUGCCAUCCUUUUUAGUGGCUACAGUCCAGUGAAAGCGAUAAAUAUGCUAGAAAAUGUGAACAUAAUGACUUUUUCAAAGAGGACAUUCAUGUCGUAUUCAGAAUGCUUACCCGCUUCCAACCGUCAACCUAGUUUGGGAAAGUCAACAGUCUUCCCUUCUGGAGGGAGUUCAGGGAAAACAGCUAACAGUUGGCG